rnacentral:lncRNA from 1 species
AGUCCCGGCUAGGGACACAGCUCUUAGACUUUGAGCUAGACAACCAGGAGGACAGGAGGACCUAGUAUCCUGCCUCCAUCAGCCCAUCAUUUAUGCAAAUGCUACUUAGUUGCCGUCUAGAUGCAGGAUGCUGUCUGCCCUGUUAAAUGCUGUGUGAACCCAGAUGGAAGCUGAGCAGACAUCACACUCGUGAGCAGCUCCCCUUCCUGUGAGCAUCUCCCCUUCCUAUGCUGAGAUUAAAGGCAUGUGCCAUCACCACCUGAACAACAGCAGCUUUCUAAGGAACCAGUAAGGCACUACAGACUUUUCAUAUAACAUCACCUUCAUUCUCUCACAACUAAUUCUACAAAACAGAUGUUAUACGACCUCGUUCGCUGAAGUCAAAGAUGCAGAGGGGCCAAGGUGUGGGCUCCGGACCUCACACCAGUGUGGCAGAUUCAACAAGCCCAGAAUAAGCCUCUUCCUUUGCUCACAAUAAGAUUAAGCCAACUGCCUCUUCAUUCCUCAGUCACACUCCUCCUCUGACCCUGCUCCAGGAGGCUCAUCUUGUCAGACUUCACACUGAAUGAGCGCUGAGGAUGCUGUAGAGUAUGAGCUGUGUGCAGGUGAUAGCAGUGGAAAGAAGACUAAGACAGACUCCAUCUAGAAACCAGAAUGACCUCUUUUAUGGAAAAAGAGACUGUAUCACUCGUGUUUCUACCCACAAAAACCUCCACUGUGAGCUCUCUCUCACCUAGGCAGGAGUCUGCAUGGCCCCGCUCUUGCCACAUCGCCAACCCCAGCCUUUGUCACUCUCUCAUAACCACUCUGUCCCUGUACAGAUACAUGAUCUGUUCCUCCCACACAUCAGCUCUUCCUGACGCUGGGCCUUUGCAUAUGUUCUUCUGCCUCAUGCCUUUCCUCCUCUUCCUGCAGGAUUGCUAUCUUCUGGUCCUGUACUCCUCAAGCUCAAAGGCCAACGUCCUGGCAUUUGUGUGACGGCUUUUGCCCUACCCUGCAGAAUUUGCAAUAGGCAGUCUCUACAUGUACUCAGGGCCCAGUGGGCAUUCAACAUGUUCAUUGAAUGACAA